CCUUGCUGAUUUUGGACUUCCCUUCUUGCAAAGCCCAGCAUGGAUGCUCAGCCUGUGGUCAUGACUGCAGGCUCUCUUUCUUACAUCACUCAGACUGAUUUUCCAGUCCCACUGAAAAAGUUUUAUCGGGGUGAACCUCUGGCAUUGGGGAUCACACAGAUAUUCAUAGGAAUCCUACAAAUUAUCUUUGGGAUGCUGAUCCACAUAAUUAAUGAACAUGAUAUUAUCUACCUUAUUGUAUGGAUGCCCUAUUGGAGUGGAAUCUUGGUGCAAAGCAUGGUGGCCAUGAAUGUGUUAAGUACUGUAGCAGCUGGUUUGGGCCUGGCGUCCCUGUUUGCCACCUUCGGUAUACCCUAUCUAUUCAAUUUGUCUAGCCACUGCCAUAAUUUUAAAGAAGAAAUUGAGAAAAAGUGUGAUGCAAACCAGAAUAUCGGCAUAGGAAUACUGACUAUUCUUACUCUGUUCACCGCCCUGGAGUUUUGCAUCACCAUCUCAGUUGCGUCUUUUGGAUGUAAGAUGCUUUGCCGAGAUACCUUCCCUGAACAAGUUGUGGUCAUUUAUCAGAAUGUGUCUCCUGCCAGUGCCGAACAAGUUCCUCCCCUCGACUGUAAACAGGCAGCAAUUCAAUCCUGAAUUGCUUUUUUUUCAUUGCAGCUAUUCUGGAGUGCAUUCACCUCCUGCAUCUUGAAGACUUUUUUUUUUAAGGAAUUGCAUGGAAGUUUUUAAACAGUGGAGCAUAAAGGCUUUUUAAUGGACUAAGCAAAAAGCACCAGACGCAAAAGAUCAUGUGAAUGUUCUUUGUUGCUGGUUAAAAUAUCUCUUUAUGAGUUGGUUGGCACUUUGCACCACGUUAUGGUUUGCCGUUGG
rnacentral:lncRNA from 1 species